rnacentral:rRNA from 1 species
UACGGGGGGGGCAAGCGUUGUUCGGAAUUACUGGGCGUAAAGGGCGCGUAGGUGGCCAACUAAGUCAGACGUGAAAUCCCUCGGCUCAACCGGGGAACUGCGUCUGAUACUGGAUGGCUUGAAUCCGGGAGAGGGAUGCGGAAUUCCAGGUGUAGCGGUGAAAUGCGUAGAUAUCUGGAGGAACACCGGUGGCGAAAGCGGCAUCCUGGACCGGUAUUGACACUGAGGAGCGAAAGCCAGGGGAGCAAACGGG